rnacentral:rRNA from 1 species
AUUGAACGCUGGCGGCAGGCCUAACACAUGCAAGUCGAGCGGAAGAAGGGAGCUUGCUCCGGAUUCAGCGGCGGACGGGUGAGUAAUGCCUGGGAAUCUGCCUGGUAGUGGGGGAUAACGUCCGGAAACGGGCGCUAAUACCGCAUACGUCCUACGGGAGAAAGCAGGGGAUCUUCGGACCUUGCGCUAUCAGAUGAGCCCAGGCCGGAUUAGCUUGUUGGUGAGGUAAUGGCUCACCAAGGCGACGAUCCGUAACUGGUCUGAGAGGAAGGUCCCCCACACUGGUACUGAGACACGGACCAGACUCCUACGGGAGGCAGCAGUGAGGAAUAUUGCACAAUGGGGGAAACCCUGAUGCAGCGACGCCGCGUGAACGAUGAAGUAUUUCGGUAUGUAAAGUUCUAUCAGCAGGGAAGAUAAUGACGGUACCUGACUAAGAAGCACCGGCUAAAUACGUG